rnacentral:rRNA from 1 species
UUACCUACGGGUGGCUGCAGCUAGGAAUUUUCCGCAAUGGGCGAAAGCCUGACGGAGCGACGCCGCGUAAGGGAAGAAGGCUCUACGGAGUUGUAAACCUUUUUUAACAGGGAAGAGACAGGACGGUACCUGUGGAAUAAGCCCCGGCAAACUACGUGCCAGCAGCCGCGGUAAUACGUAGGGGGCGAGUGUUGUUCGGAAUUACUGGGCAUAAAGGGUGCGUAGGCGGAAGUCCAAGCAAGAUGUGAAAGCCAAUGGCCUAACCAUUGAAUUGCAUUUUGAACUGGAUUUCUAGAGUGCAGUAGGGGAGAGCAGAAUUCCUGGUGUAGGGGUGAAAUCUAUAGAUAUCAGGAGGAAUACCGGUCGCGAAGGCGGCUCUCUGGACUGUAACUGACGCUGAGGCACGAAAGCGUGGGGAUCAAACAGGAUUAGAUACCCCAGUAGUC